rnacentral:lncRNA from 1 species
GCCACACUUACUGGAGCUUCAAAUAGGAAAACAUUAUCACAUUUUACUCGUUAAUGAUGCAGCUUAGCAGCCCAUUUUCUUGUAGUUCAAUUCAGUGUAAGUCAGCGAUAAACGCAAACAUUUGCAUAACAUCAAGCUUACGUAAGACUCCACCUGCCAGGGUGGGCUCAGUGCUUUGUCAUAAUUAGAACGUGCAAUCCCCACCACUGCUGCGCAUAAACGCUCAUCAGAUCCAUUUAGGCCGUAAUGGGUGUCGGGACUCCCAGGCCUUGGGGUCGUGCCUCCUGAUCCAGCUGCUGCCGCUGCUGCCGGGCGUUGGCUUUUAUUUGCCAUCAACUUGCUGCACGCGUGUGUAUGUGCCUCCCCCAUGUUGCAUCACGACCACGGCUGGUCAGGUAUUCAGCUUUCAGACUAGGCGUGUGCGUGUGCGUGUGGGCCGAUUGCAUCUAGUGUUUAUGAGCCACACGAACUGUGGUGGAGCCUGCUAUUGAUAGCCAAGCGGUCUGUUCCUCCGUUUGCCUGCUGCCUGGCACGGCUUGCUGUCCA